CACCUCUAGCACAACUUGUAUCUCCCUAUGUCACACCUUCAGUUUCCUGUUGUAGGUCCAUGCUGGUUCAUGGCUGCAAGUGAUAAUUGAAAUCUCUGCUCAUUUUCUCUUUCCUACAGUUCCCUGCCCAACUGCUAGCAAGCUCUCCUCCUUUCCAGCCCACAGAUGCAUUGUUGAAAGACAAGAGGUUCUGGAACAGCUGGGACUCGUGGAGAUGAGGCUGAGAGAGCUUUUGCUGAAGCCUUAUUGCUGCUGACUUAGAAACAGACUGCUCGCCUUGCUUGAAAUACACCCCUUUGCCCAGGACCAGCGCAAGAUUUGUGGACCACGUUAUGAAAGCAAGAAUAUAUCAGAAUCAACAACUCUACAUGAGCUUCUUAGAAACCAUAUGCCCCCUCUCUAACAUUUACAGAUUACAUCUGGGAAGCAGAAGUUUUAACCAGGAAAGGCCUUGGUUCACCCUCUCGCUUAUUCUCUAUUCCUGUUGAUAUGAUGUUUCUUGGCAACUGAGCGCACAUUGAUACCAGCAGCAAAACAGAUGCUGUUGCUAGCUUUCUCAGGCUGGUGUCCUGUUAAUGACAAGCUUUCAUUCAGUUGCAGGCAUUGCCUUCUCGGAUAUUGAGCUGCUCUCUUGCCAGCUGUAUCAUUCGUGGCUGUUAGACAAUCAAAAUAAAGAACCAACUGGUCACCCUACCUGAGAUCUAGAAAGUUACUAUAAUUUCUGAGCUGUGUGGAAGGUUGAUUUGAAAUACUUGUUAUGAGAGUCAUUUAACACGUGCAAUAAUGACGAAAACAAACCCCCAGUUUACCUCCCCUUCUCUGAUGUGGAUAUCUCUGUGGUUUCCAUUUUCAAUUAUCUUCAAGCACAUGUCUCCUUCCACUUGGUAAAAUAACUGUGUAGAAAAAAUGACAUUAAAACAUGUGAGUUUACUAAGGAGGCUCUAGCCUGCAAUCCUUUGAUCCCUAAGGCCUUAAGGAUCUCUUGACAAGGGGGCGGGGCUAACUCAGGGAGGACAGAGGUUUAAAAAGCCAGCUCCUAAGCAACCAGAGGAGGUGGCAAAGCAAUCAGGGGAAUUUUGUGAGAGUGUAGAGCGGGAGCAUGAGAGCCAGAAACACUUAACAAAUAGACUCCAUAGUUAGACCGAUAGCCCUCUCCCCCACCCAAAACAAAGAACAAACAAAUAAUCCCCACCUUUAAAGAGUACAAAUAUUGCAGGCAGAAUUCCAUCAGCAGGGUGGGGAGCUAUCCGGUUUAUUGCACUGAAUGCAGCAUGUGUGAUUACCUGCCUUGUGGAGGGGAGGGAUAUGUGUGCAUUUGAUACAAGCAACUCAUGCCCCUCCAGGACUGAGUACGGUCUCCAGAGGACAGAGUGGCUGAACUAGAGGAGCUAAGGGAGGCACAGAGGUAUAUAGCUGAGACUAUCAGGAACACAGUAAAGCGGUCCCAUUCUGAGUUUUGACCACCUAUGUGCCGUUGAAGAGGAUGAAAGUCUUGGGGAAGGAGAAAUCAAGCUGGAGAGGAAGGGAACUAUACCAUAGUUGGGACCCUUCUUCCAGAUGAUGUCAUGGUAUCCUCUUGCACAGACCCCAGUUAUUAGGAAGAGACAGGUAAUAGUAAUGAGGAAUUCAGUUAUUAGAAAUAUAGAUGGUUGGGUUUGUGGUGACUAGGAGAACCGCAUGGUGAACUGCCUGCUGGGUGCGUAGGUUAUGCAUCUAGAUAGACCAGUGGUCACCAACCCGUAAAUCCUGGAGACUCUCCCAGUCAAUCACGAUCUCUGUCUGCAGCGGUGCUGCCUGAUGCUAAGACAGGCUCCCUGCCUGCCGCGGCCCCAUGCCACUCCCAGAAGUGGCCAGCAUGCCCCCCCCGCGACCCCGCCAGUGGUGGGAGAGGCCAGGAGUCCCCGCGCGCUGGUCCUGCCUGGAAGGGAAGUGUGGCCAAUGGGAGCUGCUGGGGUGGUGCCUGCAGAGAGGGGCAGCAUGUGGAGCCACGUGCCUCCCCCAGGGGCCGCAGAGGAACGUUGGACCCUUCCGGGAGCGGCAUGGCCACAUGGUGCACUACUGGCUGGCAGGGUGCGGGGGUGGCCCAGCUCAUGAUGGGGAGGAGGUGCCAAUGUGCCUGAGUGGGGCCAAGCCCCGCUUCACCACUACCUGGGAGCCACCUGAGGUAAGCGCCCCCCUCCUGGAACCAGCACCCUGAACCCCAGCCCUGACCCCCCCUCCCAGAG